UACGUAGGUGGCAAGCGUUGUCCGGAAUUACUGGGUGUAAAGGGCGUGUAGGCGGGAAGGCAAGUCAGAUGUGAAAGCCCAUGGCUUAACUGUGGAAUUGCAUCUGAAACUGUUUUUCUUGAGUGCUGGAGAGGAAAGUGGAAUUCCUAGUGUAGCGGUGAAAUGCGUAGAGAUUAGGAGGAACACCAGUGGCGAAGGCGGCUUUCUGGACAGUAACUGACGCUGAGGCGCGAAAGCGUGGGGAGCAAACAGGAUUAGAUACC
rnacentral:rRNA from 1 species